AUUGAACGCUGGCGGCAGGCCUAACACAUGCAAGUCGAGCGAGCGGCGGACGGGUGAGUAAUGUCUGGGAAACUGCCUGUUGGAGGGGGAUAACUACUGGAAACGGUAGAUAAUACCGUAUACCAUCAGAUGUGCCCAGAUGGGAGUAGCUGGUGGGUGGGGUAACGGCUCACCUAGGCCACGAUCCCUAGCUGGUCUGAGAGGAUGACCAGCCACACUGGAACUGAGACACGGUCCAGACUCCUACGGGAGGCAGCAGUGGGGAAUAUUGCACAAUGGGCGCAGGCCUGAUGCAGCCAUGCCGCGUGUGUGAAGAAGGCCUUCGGGUUGUAAAGCACUUUCAGCGGGGAGGCGUUACCCGCAGGAGAAGCACCGGCUAACUCCGUGCCAGCAGCCGCGGUAAUAC
rnacentral:rRNA from 1 species